GGGGUAAAUUAAUAAUUAAUAACUAAUAAAAGAAAUUUUAAUAUUAAAAAAAAAUAAUGGGGGUUAGAGUAUUUUUAAUAGAAAAAAUUAAUAGUUUUAUAGUUAAAUAUUACUGUAAAGGAAAUUAUAAAUAGUUGAAAGUUAAUUAAAAUAAAAGUAAAUUUAGUUUAUUGUAUCUUGUGUAUCAGAGUUUAUUAAAUAAUAAUAAUUUAUUUAAAUAAAUCUCGAAUUUAAAAGAGUUAAUUAAUUAAAAAAGUUAAUGUUGAAUAAUUAUUUUAAAUAAUUAAUUAGAAAUGAAAUGUUAAUCGUUUUUAAAUAUAUCUAGUUUUUUUAGAAAAAAAUUUAAUUUUAAAUUUAAAUAAUUUUAUAAUUUUUUAAUUAAUUAUAAAAAUUUAAAAUUUAAUAUUUUAGGGGAUAAGCUUUAAAUUAAAAUAUUAUAAUUAAUUAAGAUAAAAAUUAAAAUUUUUAAAAUUUAUAUUGUUUAAAAAUUGUAAUUUAUUAUAAAAAAUUUUAAUUAAAAUAAAAUUUAAAUUAAAUUUAAUUUUUUAUAAAAAAAUAAUUUUUAAUAAAAAAAAAUUAGUAAUAAUGAUAAAAUUAGUAUAUUAUAAUAAUUGAAUAAAAAAAUUAAUUUAAAUUAAAUUAAAGGAAUUCGGCAAAAUUUUAUAUUCACUUGUUUAUCAAAAACAUGUCUUUUUGAUAAUAAUUUAAAGUCUAAUCUGCCCACUGAUAAAUUAUUAAAGGGCUGCAGUAUAUUGACUGUACAAAGGUAGCAUAAUCAUUAGUCUUUUAAUUGAAGACUUGUAUGAAAGAUUUGAUGAAAUAUAAACUGUCUUUAAUUUAUUUAAAUAAAACUUAAUUUUUUAGUAAAAAAGCUAAAAUAAAAUUAAAAGACGAGAAGACCCUAUAGAGUUUUAUAAUUAAAAUAAUUAAUUUAAAAUAUAUAAAUAUAAAAAUAAAAUUUUUUUAAUUAUUUUAUUGGGGUGAUAGAAAAAUUAAAAAAACUUUUUUUAAAAUGUUAACAUUAAUAAGUGAUUAAAUGAUCCAUUUAUAGUGAUUAUAAGAAAAAAUUACCUUAGGGAUAACAGCGUAAUAUUUUUUUUUAGUACAAAUAAAAAGGAAAGUUUGCGACCUCGAUGUUGGAUUAAGAUAAAAUUUAAAUGCAAAAGUUUAAAAUUUUGAUCUGUUCGAUCAUUAAAAUCUUACAUGAUCUGAGUUCAAACCGGUGUGAGCCAGGUUGGUUUCUAUCUUUAGUGAAAAUAAAUAUUUUAGUACGAAAGGAUCAAAUAUUUGAAAUAAUUUUAAUUAAAUGAAUAUUAAUAAUAUUUUAU
rnacentral:rRNA from 1 species